GACGAACGCUGGCGGCGUGCCUAACACAUGCAAGUCGAGCGGGGGGAGUUCUUCGGAACGAACCUAGCGGCGGACGGGUGAGUAACACGUGGGUAACCUGCCUCAAAGUGGGGGAUAGCCUUUCGAAAGGAAGAUUAAUACCGCAUAACCCAUAGCUUCCGCAUGGAAGCAAUGGUAAAGAUUUAUCGCUUUGAGAUGGACCCGCGGCGCAUUAGCUAGUUGGUGAGGUAACGGCUCACCAAGGCCACGAUGCGUAGCCGACCUGAGAGGGUGAUCGGCCACAUUGGAACUGAGACACGGUCCAGACUCCUACGGGAGGCAGCAGUGGGGAAUAUUGCACAAUGGGCGAAAGCCUGAUGCAGCAACGCCGCGUGAGUGAUGAAGGCCUUCGGGUUGUAAAGCUCUGUCUUUUGGGACGAUAAUGACGGUACCAAAGGAGGAAGCCACGGCUAACUACGUGCCAGCCGCCGCCGUAAUAC
rnacentral:rRNA from 1 species